GCCGGAGUGGCGAAAUUGGUAUACGCACCAGACUCAAAAUCUGGCGAGGUCAAACUCAUGUCGGUUCGAGUCCGACCUCCGGCACCA
rnacentral:tRNA from 3 species